GCUAAUACCGUAUACGUCCUUCGGGAGAAAGAUUUAUCGGAGUUGGAUGAGCCCGCGUCGGAUUAGUUAGUUGGUGGGGUAAUGGCUCACCAAGGCUACGAUCCGUAGCUGGUCUUAGAGGAUGAUCAGCCACACUGGGACUGAGACACGGCCCAGACUCCUACGGGAGGCAGCAGUGGGGAAUAUUGGACAAUGGGCGAAAGCCUGAUCCAGCCAUGCCGCGNGAGUGAUGAAGGCCCUAGGGUUGUAAAGCUCUUUCAGCGGGGAAGAUAAUGACGGUACCCGCAGAAGAAGCCCCGGCUAACUUCGUGCCAGCAGCCGCGGUAAUACGAAGGGGGCUAGCGUUGUUCGGAAUUACUGGGCGUAAAGCGCGCGUAGGCGGAUCGUUAAGUCAGGGGUGAAAUCCCGGGGCUCAACCCCGGAACUGCCUUUGAUACUGACGAUCUUGAGUUC
rnacentral:rRNA from 1 species